UUAAGAAUUGUUGUUAUUUUAUAGGAAAUCAGAGUUAGCCUAUAAGGGUUGUAGUUGUUUCAUGAAAUAGGUUUAGAAAGUAUAGACAAGUCAAUACCCUUAUUCGAAUUAUAGGGAGAAUGGUUGUUAAUACUUAUUAUUAUUAUUAUGAGGUUAUUAUUGGAGGAUGAUUUUGGAAUGAAGAACCAUUCGGGAUUAUGAAGGAGAUUAUGUUGGUGGAAUCUGAAUUGCUUUCAGGUUUGGUAUCAAGAGCUCGAGAAUGGAAGUGAAGCAAGAUUAAGAUGUCGUCGUGGCUUAAGGAUUAAGUUUAUAUUCUAGAUAGUUGUUUAUAUUUCGAUGUAUAAUAUUUGGGAAUAUUAGUCGAGUUAUUGGUGUAAUUAAGGUUAUUUUUCCGCUGCGAUUUUAUUCAUUAAGAUUUAGAUUCUAGUU